UACGGAGGAUCCGAGCGUUAUCCGGAUUUAUUGGGUUUAAAGGGUGCGCAGGCGGAAGAUUAAGUCGGUGGUGAAAUUUUGCAGCUCAACUGUAAAAGGUGCCAUUGAUACUGGUUUUCUUGAGUGUGGAUGAAGUAGGCGGAAUUUGUGGUGUAGCGGUGAAAUGCAUAGAUAUCACGAGGAACUCCGAUUGCGCAGGCAGCUUACUAAACCAUAACUGACGCUCAGGCACGAAGGCGUGGGGAUCAAACAGGAUUAGAUACCCG
rnacentral:rRNA from 1 species